rnacentral:rRNA from 1 species
UACGUAGGCAGCAAGCGUUGUUCGGAAUUACUGGGCGUAAAGAGUGUGUAGGCGGUGCUCUAAGUCUGUUGUGAAAUCUCCCGGCUUAACUGGGAGGGUGCGGCGGAAACUGGAGUGCUCGGAGUGUGGGAGAGGGUAAGCGGAAUUCCUGGAUGUAGCGGUGAAAUGCGUAGAUAUCAGGAGGAACACCUGUGGUGUAGACAGCUUACUGGACCACGACUGACGCUGAGACACGAAAGCCGUGGGUAGCAAACAGG